rnacentral:lncRNA from 1 species
CCAUACCGAGCAUUGGAAGUACUCCAGCAUGAUCAAGUGAUAAUCCAUCCCAUGAAGACUUACCUAAUUAGAUAAAUACACAACAAGAUCCAAUAGACUUGUGUGAUGAGGAAGAGGAUAGUAGACAAGGUAAGAAAAGAAAAUUGACUUUGGUAGUAUCAAACCACUUCAAAAAAAAAAAAGGGUCAUUAAGGGGAAGACAAGGCAAUUUGUAACUAUUGUAAAAGAAAAUUAGGGACUAAAAUUUAGAAUAGGACAAAACAUUUGCACGAACAUAUGAAAAGAUGCCCUCGUCGAAAUCAAAAAAAUAUUAAACAAGCAAUAUUAAAUCCAUUAAAGGAAGCAUGUGGAAG